UACAGAGGUCUCAAGCGUUGUUCGGAUUCAUUGGGCGUAAAGGGUGCGUAGGCGGUCGCCUAAGUCAGGUGUGAAAUCUCGGGGCUCAACCCCGAAACUGCACUUGAUACUGGGUGACUUGAGUACUGGAGGGGAGACUGGAAUUUACGGUGUAGCAGUGAAAUGCGUAGAUAUCGUAAGGAAGACCAGUGGCGAAGGCGAGUCUCUGGACAGUUACUGACGCUGAGGCACGAAGGCUAGGGGAGCAAACGGG
rnacentral:rRNA from 1 species